AUUGAACGCUGGCGGCAUGCCUUACUCAUGCGCGUCCAACGGCAGCACGGAGCUUGCUCUGGUGGCGAGUGGCGAACGGGUGAGUAAUAUAUCGGAACGUACCCUGGAGUGGGGGAUAACGUAGCGAAAGUUACGCUAAUACCGCAUACGAUCUAAGGAUGAAAGUGGGGGAUUCGCAAGAACCUCAUGCUCCUGGAGCGGCCGAUAUCUGAUUAGCUAGUUGGUAGGGUAAAAGCCUACCAAGGCAUCGAUCAAAAGCUGGUCUGAGAGGACGACCAGCCACACUGGAACUGAGACACGGUCCACACUCCUACCGGAGGCAGCAGUGGGGAAUUUUGGACAAUGGGGGCAACCCUGAUCCAGCAAUGCCGCGUGAGUGAAGAAGGCCUUCGGGUUGUAAAGCUCUUUUGUCAGGGAAGAAACGGUGUGAGCUAAUAUCUCAUGCUAAUGACGGUACCUGAAGAAUAACCACCGGCUAACUACGUGCCAGCAGCCGCGGUAAUACGUAGGGUGCAAGCGUUAAUCGGAAUUACUGGGCGUAAAGCGUGCGCAGGCGGUUUUGUAAGACUGUCGUGAAAUCCCCGGGCUCAACCUGGGAAUGGCGAUGGUGACUGCAAGGCUAGAGUUUGGCAGAGGGGGGUAGAAUUCCACGUGUAGCAGUGAAAUGCGUAGAUAUGUGGAGGAACACCGAUGGCGAANGCAGCCCCCUGGGUCAAAACUGACGCUCAUGCACGAAAGCGUGGGGAGCAAACAGGAUUAUAUACCCUGGUAGUCCACGCCCUAAACGAUGUCU
rnacentral:rRNA from 1 species